CACGUAGGGACCAAGCGUUGUCCGGAUUUAUUGGGCGUAAAGAGCGUGUAGGCGGCCAGACAGGUCCGUUGUGAAAACUGGAGGCUUAACCUUCAGACGUCGAUGGAAACCGUCUGGCUAGAGUCCGGAAGAGGAGAGUGGAAUUCCUGGUGUAGCGGUGAAAUGCGCAGAUAUCAGGAAGAACACCCGUGGCUAAGGCGGCUCUCUAGUACGGUACUGACGCUGAGACGCGAAAGCGUGGGGAGCGAACAGG
rnacentral:rRNA from 1 species